rnacentral:rRNA from 1 species
UACGGAGGGGGCUAGCGUUGUUCGGAAUUACUGGGCGUAAAGCGCACGUAGGUGGCUUGUUAAGUCGGGUGUGAAAUCCCUGGGCUCAACCCAGGAAGUGCACUCGAAACUGGCGAGCUUGAGUACUGAAGAGGGUCGCGGAAUUCCCGGUGUAGAGGUGAAAUUCGUAGAUAUCGGGAGGAACACCAGUGGCGAAGGCGGCGACCUGGGCAGAUACUGACACUGAGGUGCGAAAGCGUGGGGAGCAAACAGG